rnacentral:rRNA from 1 species
UACGGGGGGGGGCAAGCGUUGUUCGGAAUUACUGGGCGUAAAGGGCUCGUAGGCGGCCAACUAAGUCAAACGUGAAAUCCCUCGGCUUAACCGGGGAACUGCGCUUGAUACUGGAUGGCUUGAGAUUGGGAGAGGGAUGCGGAAUUCCAGGUGUAGCGGUGAAAUGCGUAGAUAUCUGGAGGAACACCGGUGGCGAAGGCGGCAUCCUGGACCAACAUUGACGCUGAGGAGCGAAAGCCAGGGGAGCAAACGGG